GAUGAACGCUAGCGACAGGCCUAACACAUGCAAGUCGAGGGGCAGCACAAGGUAGCAAUACUGAGGUGGCGACCGGCGCACGGGUGAGUAACGCGUAUGCAACCUGCCUGUAACAGGGGAAUAGCCUCUUGAAAGAGAGAUUAAUGCCGCAUAAUACGAGAUUCGGGCAUCCGGAUUUAGUUAAACAUUUAUGGGUUACAGAUGGGCAUGCGUUUCAUUAGGUAGUUGGUGAGGUAACGGCUCACCAAGCCGACGAUGAAUAGGGGUUCUGAGAGGAAGGUCCCCCACACUGGUACUGAGACACGGACCAGACUCCUACGGGAGGCAGCAGUGAGGAAUAUUGGUCAAUGGACGCAAGUCUGAACCAGCCAAGUCGCGUGAAGGAUGAAGGUAUUAUGUAUUGUAAACUUCUUUUGUCAGGGAAUAAUGGGUGUCACGUGUGACGCAGAGGAAUGUACCUGACGAAUAAGCAUCGGCUAACUCCGUGCCAGCAGCCGCGGUAAUACGGAGGAUGCGAGCGUUAUCCGGAUUUAUUGGGUUUAAAGGGUGCGUAGGCGGUUUGUUAAGUCAGUGGUGAAAGUUUGCGGCUCAACCGUAAAAUUGCCAUUGAAACUGGCGAACUUGAGUACAGUAGAGGUAGGCGGAAUUCGUGGUGUAGCGGUGAAAUGCUUAGAUAUCACGAAGAACUCCGAUUGCNAAGGCAGCUUG
rnacentral:rRNA from 1 species